rnacentral:rRNA from 1 species
GACGAACGCUGGCGGCGUGCUUAACACAUGCAAGUCGAACGGAAAGGCCCUGCUUUUGUGGGGUGCUCGAGUGGCGAACGGGUGAGUAACACGUGAGUAACCUGCCCUUGACUUUGGGAUAACUUCAGGAAACUGGGGCUAAUACCGGAUAGGAGCUCCUGCUGCAUGGUGGGGGUUGGAAAGUUUCGGCGGUUGGGGAUGUACUCGCGGCUUAUCAGCUUGUUGGUGGGGUAGUGGCUUACCAAGGCUUUGACGGGUAGCCGGUCUGAGAGGGGGACCGGCGACAUUGGGACUGAGGUACGGCCCAGACUCCUACGGGAGGCAACAGUGGGGAAUAUUGCACAAUGGGCGGAAGCCUGAUGCAGCAACGCCGCGUGCGGGAUGACGGCCUUCGGGUUGUAAACCGCUUUCGCCUGUGACGAAGCGUGAGUGACGGUAAUGGGUAAAGAAGCACCGGCUAACUACGUG